rnacentral:rRNA from 1 species
AGAGCGAACGCUGGCGGCGUACUUAACACAUGCAAGUCGAACGAGGAUCGCUGCCUGAGCAAUCAGGCGUCGGUUCUAGUGGCGCACGGGUGAGUAACACGUGGGCAACCUGCCCUGGAGCCUGGGAUACCCUCUCGAAAGGGAGGCUAAUACCGGAUACGUUCCUCGGGUCGCGAGAUCCGGGGAGGAAAGGUGGCGCAAGCUGCCGCUCUUGGAGGGGCUCGCGGCCUAUCAGCUAGUUGGUGAGGUAAUGGCUCACCAAGGCUAUGACGGGUAGCUGGUCUGAGAGGACGACCAGCCACACGGGGACUGAGACACGGCCCCGACUCCUACGGGAGGCAGCAGUGGGGAAUUUUCCGCAAUGGGCGAAAGC